rnacentral:rRNA from 1 species
UACGUAGGGGGCAAGCGUUUGUCCGGAUUUAUUGGGCGUAAAGGGCGCGUAGGCGGCUUGGCAAGUGGAUGGUGAAAUCCCUCGGCUUAACCGAGGAACUGCCGUCCAAACUGCUUUGCUUGAGACCGGGAGAGGUGAGUGGAAUUCCCAGUGUAGCGGUGAAAUGCGUAGAUAUUGGGAGGAACACCAGUGGCGAAGGCGGCUCACUGGACCGGAACUGACGCUGAGGCGCGAAAGCGUGGGGAGCAAACGGG